rnacentral:rRNA from 1 species
GAGUGCAGAAGGGGAGAGUGGAAUUCCAUGUGUAGCGGUGAAAUGCGUAGAUAUAUGGAGGAACACCGGUGGCGAAAGCGGCUCUNUGGUCUGUAACUGACGCUGAGGCUCGAAAGCGUGGGGAGCGAACAGGAUUAGAUACCCUGGUAGUCCACGCCGUAAACGAUGAGUGCUAGGUGUUAGGCCCUUUCCGGGGCUUAGUGCCGCAGCUAACGCAUUAAGCACUCCGCCUGGGGAGUACGACCGCAAGGUUGAAACUCAAAGGAAUUGACGGGGGCCCGCACAAGCGGUGGAGCAUGUGGUUUAAUUCGAAGCAACGCGAAGAACCUUACCAGGUCUUGACAUCCCGAUGCCCGCUCUAGAGAUAGAGUUUUACUUCGGUACAUCGGUGACAGGUGGUGCAUGGUUGUCGUCAGCUCGUGUCGUGAGAUGUUGGNNNNNNNNNNNNNNNCGAGCGCAACCCUUAUUGUUAGUUGCCAUCAUUCAGUUGGGCACUCUAGCGAGACUGCCGGUAAUAAACCGGAGGAAGGUGGGGAUGACGUCAAAUCAUCAUGCCCCUUAUGACCUGGGCUACACACGUGCUACAAUGGCUGGUACGACGAGUCGCAAGUCGGUGACGGCAAGCUAAUCUCUUAAAGCCAGUCUCAGUUCGGAUUGUAGGCUGCAGCUCGCCUACAUGAAGUCGGAAUCGCUAGUAAUCGCGGAUCAGCACGCCGCGGUGAAUACGUUCCCGGGC